CGUUAUUUUUUGAGGUCGUGAAUUCGAUUCGUACCCUGUUCGGGUAUAAGUAAGAACUGCUAGUUCUAGGGAUAGGUACAAGUUCAGGUAUAAGCAGGAACUAGAUCAAUUUUGCGUUUGGAUGAAAAUUUGAUUGUUCCUAGGAAUAAGAUAAAUAAUGUUUGGAUGGUUAGAUUGGAACAAGAGGAAUAAGAGUUAUAAUUUGAAAUUAAAAUUAUAUUAUGUAAUUAAUAGUAAUAAAAAUAUUACUUAAAAAUAAAUAAGAAAUUAAUUAUUAAUAAUUAAUUAUAAAUAAUAAUAAUAAUUAUUAAUAAUUAAUUAUAAAUAAUAAAUUAAUAAUAAUAUUGAUUAUCUAAUUAUUAAUAAUAAUUAAUAUUAAUAUUUAUUAAUAAAUA
rnacentral:lncRNA from 1 species